UUUCUUUAAUACGGGUCUGCCCGGGCGUGGUUUUGCUUCGGCGCUGUCCCAAGCUAUGGGUGGGAAAAUAGAGCGAUUGUCGGCGUCUUCAUCGGCAGCAGAGCAGUAGAAGGGCCUCAAGCUAAAGGGAAGUGAUUAGCUCGUUUUUUAUUCAUCUCCUUUCUUGCACAGCAGCCAAAAGGCUUAAAACUGGUCUCUCAGGCGGUACUUAUAUUCCUAGUACGAGUAAAGUCAAAGAAUCUCUGUAGGCUUGAAAUGCUGAGCUGACGAAGUACUCCAGCUGAUGUCUUCAAUCUCAAGCAGUUGCUUUGAAUUUGCUUCAAACUUGGCUUUUUAAUCAUCUAUGUCCUUGCCUUGAGAUCCUGUUUCCAGUGGAGGAUGUGUGUAUAUUCAAGUGGCGGGUCUGAUUGCAAUUCGUUUUGAAGGAGUUGCUCAAUUCACUCUUUGUUGGUGGUCUUUAUUCUCUCCUUUGUUCUCACUUUAAUCAAUUGAAGUGAAAGAUGAGGAUUAUUUCUUAAGGUCACUUUCACCUACUAUGUGACAUGGACCUCUAAAGUGGAGUAUCACAUAGGUGGAAAAAGUUUUUUAAGGAUUCAUUGGUAGUUCCAAAAAACGAGCUUCAAUUAAUUCUGUAUCAAUAUUGUAUCAAGAAAAGCUCAAGAAUUGGAAGUUGACGAAAAACAACAAGUUCACAUUGAAUCCUUGAUUAUGAGAAAAAGUGGAAAGAAUAAUAUCGCACCAUAUAUGUUGAUUUUGGGGGUGAUUCCAAUAAUUGGCACUUUACUCUUGGCUCUUGUGUAUUCUUAGGUGAUAUCUUAGUUCUAUGGACAUGCAAAAAAGCAACAAAGAGCCUCUUACUGAAGUUGAGUAUUAGAUGAUGGCAACAAAAUUCCUUCUCAAGGACACAGGGUUUGACUUUAAAAACUAGUUCAACUGUGUCAUAAUAACAAAAGUGCUAUUUAUAUAUCCAACAAUUAAAUAUUUCGUGAGUGAACUAAGCAUAUUGAAUGGAUUGCUAUUAUGUUUGUGAAGAGUUUUUAAGAAGAUAGUGGUCCGCAUGUCUAAAUCAAUACUGUUCAAAAACAUCUGCCACGAUCGAGAAGAAGUGACUUCUUACAAGUGCAGUUGUCUUUUCUUUCAAUUGUGCUGUUAUCAAGCUAAAGAGGGUCCUGCUCACCUUCACCUUUCGCUAGGUGCUUCAACUUUAAAUCCCCCAAGUUGAAGAAUGUAUAGAGUUCGGUACUCAGGCUUAAGCCCAAAAGUUGAGGAGACCUUUAUGGAUUGGAGGGCUGCCUGAAGGUUUUGCAGGGAAGGAGAAACUGGUACAGGACUCAGCAAGCGUGCUCCUUCCAGGCUAACAAUUGAAGAUAUACACAGAACUUGAUGGUCAUCUUUGUCCUUGAGUUAAGUUAAAUAGUGCUCUUGGUGUGACUGCUUUUGUAGCUACUAAUACGGUCUAACCAAGACAUUAAAAAUUUCUAAUUUCCUGUCUUCCUAUGCACAUUGCUGGAUGUUCCAAUAAGUGUAUUAACAGUAACUCUAGAUGCCAGAUCAUUGUUUUGUGCA